rnacentral:misc_RNA from 1 species
UCCGAGUUGACCCCGGCAGUCUCCUAUGAGUCCCCGGCAUUAUCCGCUGGCAACAUAGGACGAGGGUUGCGCUCGUUGCGGGACUUAACCCAACAUCUCACGACACGAGCUGACGACAACCAUGCACCACCUGUGCACGGCCCUUACGGACCCCGCAUCUCUGCGAGAUUUCCGGUAUAUGUCAAACCCAGGUAAGGUUCUUCGCGUUGCAUCGAAUUAAUCCGCAUGCUCCGCCGCUUGUGCGGGCCCCCGUCAAUUCCUUUGAGUUUUAGUCUUGCGACCGUACUCCCCAGGCGGGGCGCUUAACGCGUUAGCUACGGCACCGAGAGGGUCGAUCCCCCCGGCGCCUAGUGCCCAUCGUUUACGGCGUGGACUAC